GGAGUCGGAAUAUAUAUAUAUAUAUAUAUAUAUAUGUAUGUAGAAUGUCAAAUAGUCUUCAAACAUUUAAUUUCACACGAAACUGUAGAUUCGUUUAAUAGCACAAAAUGAAGGUUAUUAUUGCGUUACUAGUUGUGACAACUUUAGCUUUUGUCUAUGCUGAACAUUGUAGAGACAAUGCCGCAUGUCACGAAUCACCAUAUCACUCAGUGCCACGGUCAUACACAUUCAGUUUGUCUAGAUAAUUGGUGCGAAUGCUCCGAUAUUCAACACGGGCACAAUUGUACGGCUCAGGCAGACUGCCCUUCCUGUCCCGAUAAUCACGUGGCUCACUGUGUGGACGGCCGCUGCCACUGUGCAGGAGGUCGACCCGGACAAGGCAAAUAACUCGAUAAUAAAUAAUUUGUAAACCAAAAGAUAUAUUAUAAAACACAGAAAUGGC
rnacentral:lncRNA from 1 species